rnacentral:rRNA from 1 species
AGCAGCCGCGGUAAUUCCAGCUCCAAUAGCGUAUAUUAAAGUUGUUGCAGUUAAAAAGCUCGUAGUUGAAUUUCGGGGUUAGUAGGUUGGUCGUGCCUAUGGUAUGCACUGGCUUUACUGAUUCCUCCUUCUUGAAGAACUGUAAUGUCAUUAAUUUGGUGUUGCAGGGAAACAGGACGUGUUACUUUGUAAAAAAUUAAGAGUGUUUAAAGUACAGGCGUAACG